UACGUAGGGGGGCAAGCGUUGUCCGGAAUCAUUGGGCGUAAAGAGCGUGUAGGCGGUCCGGUAAGUCGGUUGUGAAAGUCCAGGGCUCAACCCUGGGAUGCCGACCGAUACUGUCGGACUAGAGUUCGGAAGAGGCGAGUGGAAUUCCCGGUGUAGCGGUGAAAUGCGCAGAUAUCAGGAGGAACACCAAUUGCGAAGGCAGCUCGCUGGGACGUAACUGACGCUGAGACGCGAAAGCGUGGGGAGCAAACAGG
rnacentral:rRNA from 1 species